UACGGGGGGGGCAAGCGUUGUCCGGAAUCAUUGGGCGUAAAGAGCGUGUAGGCGGCUCGGUAAGUCCGCUGUAAAAGUCCAGGGCUCAACCCUGGAAAGCCGGUGGAAACUGUCGAGCUAGAGUCCGGAAGAGGCGAGUGGAAUUCCUGGUGUAGCGGUGAAAUGCGCAGAUAUCAGGAGGAACACCAAUGGCGAAGGCAGCUCGCUGGGACGGUACUGACGCUGAGACGCGAAAGCGUGGGGAGCAAACAGG
rnacentral:rRNA from 1 species